GAGGAGACAUUCUGACUGGAGACUUUCAGUUCGCCCACCACUGCUGGGUGUUUUAAGCAUUUCAGUUUGGCAGUAAACAUAAAAAGUUUAGUUACAGAGGCGUAAGCCUGGAAUACUCAGUGACGGGCUCACUGCCAUGAAUAAUUGUGACAAAACAACAGCUGCUACGAGAUCAUGAGGCAGUGAGCCCCACCUCAGUACACUUGUGUCCCACCUAAGGACUUUCCAAAGUUCGGGGAAACCAGGCCAGCUGAGCGUUCAAAUCGACACUCCCAUCACACUCCAGGUAUGUAUUUUAUUGGCGAGAACGAUGACUAACUAGUGGGCUGACUUACAUGCAAGUUCCUACUUGGCCUUUUUCCUGUCAGCAAAAUUUACUACUGUCUUCUAACUCUCCUCCUACUUCAGUAUUAAAAAUUGUUACUCUCCCAGCAGUAAAGCACAUCCAGCCAAGUGACAAGCAAAGAAAUGUUAAGGAGAAGUACACAGACAAUAUGGGCUGGACUUUACCAGGAAGAACAAGAGCACAUACUGGCCAGGAAGUGUUGCAAGGAAGGAAUUUUCUAGAGCCUUAUGCAAACCUCAGUUAUUAUCCUGGGCAAUGUUGCAAUUUCACUUCUGGUUUAUAUUAACUAGUACUAGAAAUACAUAAGGAAUGACCUAAUUCUUUUCCUUUCAUUAGAACUCUACACUGGUAGGCUGUUUCACUUACUAAUUUAAAAAAAUCAACAUUGAGUAUCCCUUUGAGCUCAACACUGACUUAAGUUUUGAAAUAUGUCAUUACAAUAUUUAAUAAAUAUGGAUUCCUUUUUUUUAGCAUUUAUUCAUUUUUGAUAGAUAGAGACAGAGCAUGAGUGGGGUAGGGGCAGACAGAGAGGGAGACACAGAAUCCGAAGCAAGCUCCAGGCUCUGAGCUGUGAGCACAGAGCCUGACGAGGGGCUCGAACUCACAAACCAUGAGAUCAUGACCUGAGCUGAAGUCAGAUGCUCAACCGACUGAGCCACCAAGGCACCCCAAAUAUUGAUUCCUUUUAAAAAGUUUUUUGAGAUGUAAUCUUACAUUCCAUGAAAUGCACCCAUUUUCAGCGUACAAUUUAAUAACUUUUAGUAUGUUGACAGAGUCGUGCAAAUAUCACCACAAUAAGAAUUCAUUUUUGAGCUUUUUUUUUUUGAAGAUGUUUUUUAAGUUCAUUUAUUUUGAGGGAGAGAGCCUGCAUGAGCAGGAGAGGGGAAAGAGACGGGGGGGGGGGGGGGGGGGAGAGAGAGAGGAAUCCCAAGCAGGCUCUGCACUGUCUGCUUGGAGCCCAACAUGGGGCUCGAUCUCACAAAUGGGGAGAUCAUGACCUGAGCUGAAAUUAUGAGUAGGAUGCUCAACUGACUGAGCCACCCAGGCAGGUUCCCCUGAAGAUUUUCUUUUUAAGUAAUCUUUGCACCCAGUGUGGGGUUCGAAUUCACAACCCUGGGAUCAAGAGUCAUGUGUCCCUAUUAUAUGCUCUUGAAAAUUAUCUACUGAAAAAUUCAAAUAAAAAAACAAGCUCAGGGGCACCUGGCUAGCUCAGUCCGUAGAGCACAUGACUCUUGAUCUCAGGGUUGUGGGUUUGAGCCCCAUGUUGACUGUAGAGAUUAGUUAAAAAUAAAAUCUUUAGUAGGUUCCGGACUGGCUCAGUCAGUAAAGCACAUGACUCUUUUGAUUUCAGGGUUGUGAGUUCAAUCCCGUGUUGGCUGUAGCAAUUACUCAAAAAAUAAUAAUAAUAAUAAUAAAUGAAAUCUUUUUUUAUUUUACAAAAUUUUUUAAGUGGGCUCCAUGCCCAACAUAGGGUUUGAACCCACGACUCUGAGAUCAAGAGUCACAUGCUCUACUGACUGAGCCAGUCAGGCACCCCCUAAAAUAAAAUCUUUAAAAAAAAAAUAAUUUUCAAGAGUAAAUGAUAAGCCACAAAAAGGUUUGUAUUCCAAGUUAUUAAUUAAACUUAUUAUCCAGUUUUACUUGAGUGGCCAGAGGUCUCUCACACUGCUCUUUCAGAAACCUGUGUUUGGAGAAACAGUGUGUCCAGAUAAUGUGAUUUAUUGUUAUAGCACAUUCUGUAGUUUGACUACUACUUGAUGUCCCUGAAGUAAAUGAGCACUGAGUAAGGAGGGGACUAUGCCCUCACAUACAGUAGCUGGCAACCAAGAGACUCUUAAAGUUACUAAUGAGUUCUUUUGGAGAUCCAAAGAAUCAGCUAUUUUUAAUGAUUCUUGAUAGCACACAAGGGAAGUCCCCUCAUGGAUCAACAAUGUCAAGUAUUUCUACUUUUGCUUUCAGCCCUGAUUCUAAUUCCCUCCACUCACCCACCUCUCUCACUGUGACCUUGAAGUAUAGAACAAAUCUCUUUCCAGUUCUUCCCUUUCCCACAUGGAUCUCUAUGACCUUGAUUUUGGCUUUAUUUGGUUUGCUUUCCUUUCAUGCUUGAAAUGAUUCUUUAUCCACUUUCUCUGUCAAAAGUCAUCUUUAUUGCUGUCUCCUUCUCCCCUCUCUUCACAAUCUAUUCUGACAGCAUAUACUGAAAGUUUUGCUUAUACUCAGAAAUUUGAAACUUGGUGUGAGGAGUUUCUGAACUCUGGUUCUGUAGUUAGCUCUUUCAGGAUUUUGCAUUCAAAAUCUCACUCUUAAGCUUCCCACUCUCACCAUCACCUCCUGCUGCCAUCUGAGCUCUGACUUCAAUAAUUCUUCCUUAUUCCAAUGGAUGUAUGGUCCAUUGAUCCUAGAACCAUUUCACUGUCCACAACGUCCUCAUGUCUGUCCUUAACCAGCUUCUAUCCAUGAUUCAUUACUACCUACACCUGACCCUCCUUCAGACUUGCCUGGCAAAACCUAAACCCAUGGCAAAAAAUUGUCCACCUUUGCACCAAAAUGAACCAGCACUUUCAAGACCUUGGUUUUAGCCCUUACAACUCAUUUAUGCACUUGACCAUGGCAAGAGGAAAACAGCCAAUCAUGUGGAGUGGCUCACAUAAAAUUAUGACCACUAACCCCAAGGCUGCCUUUAGUGCUGCCUGACAAUCCUAUCAUAUUUCCCUAAAUAGUUCACUUUCCACUCACCAAGACAACUGUUUCACACCUUCUCUUCUCGCCUCAAACCUCACACAGCUGAUGACCCGAUCUCCCAUUUUCCUAAGAGAAGCAACCAGAAAAAAUGUCUUCCAUGUGCUCUGAUCACCAACCGCAUUUAUCAUAUUCUCUGCCUUCCCACAUGGUGUCACAGAUAAACUAUUAAGCUCCUGUCCAAGGUCAUCAUCUCCACUUGGACACUAGAUCCAAUUUUCUCUCAUCUACUCAAAGACAUUGCUACAGAAUUAUCCCUCUCUCCUGAAUAGUCAAAUUGUCCUCUCCACUAGAUCAUUGCCAUCACCCUAUCAAUAUAUUCUAAAAUAUCCUUAUCUUAACACAGGACAGCAUUUACCUUUCAACUCCACAUCUCCCCCUUGGCUAUUACCUUACCUCUCUGCUUUCUUGUAAACAAAACUUAAAAAAUGUCUAUACACACUGUCUCCACUAACUCUCUCUCUCAUUCCCUUUUGAAUCUAUUCCAAUCAUGUUUUCACCACAACCAUAACUUUUGUCAAGGUCACCUGCGAAGUCCAUGUUGUUAAAUCCUGUGGUCAUUCUGAGUCCUCCUCUUACCUGAUCCCCUAGCAACAUUUGCACAGCUGAUCUUUCUCUCCUCCUUCCAACACUUUCUUCACUUGGCUUCCAAGAGAACACCCUUACUUCUCCUCCUGUCUCACUGGCUGCUCCUACUCCGUCCCUUUGGCUAGUUCCUGCUCAUCUGCCUGACCUCUAUGGAUGGAGUGAGUGCCUCAAGGGUUAGUUCUUAGAACCUUCUCUCUUCUCUAUAUUCUACCCCCACCCUGACGAUCUUAGGCAGCCUGUACCUUUGAAUACUGUCACUAAGCUGAUGAUGAUUCCUAAAUGUACAUCUCCAGACAGAUCACUCCCUUGAACUCCAGAUCCAUAUAUUCAAUUGCCUACUUGAAUCUCCAAUGUAUAUUCUUAAGCACAUUAAGUGUAUAUGUGCAAAAGAGAAUGCAUGUACAUGACUCCGCCUGCCCUAAAGCUAUAUCCCCUUACAGUCUUCUCCAUCUUAGCAAAUAGCUUAUCAGCUGCGCUGCCGAAACCUUUGGCUUUACCGUGAUUCCUCCCUAUCUCUCACACUCUUAUGUUCAAGCUGUUGACAAAAUCGGCUAGCUUUGGCCUCAAAAUAUAUCCAGAGUUCCACCACUUUCAUCACCAUUAUCAUUAUUCCCCUAGGCCAGGAUUCUGUCACCUCUUGCCUGCACUAUGGCAGCUGCCUCCUAAUUGAUCUUGCUUCCAACUUAGACUCUCUAUAACCUUAUAGCCACAGCAACAGAGAGAUUCUGAUCGCAUCCCUCCUCAGCUUAAAACAUUCCAAGACUGCACUGGUUUCCUAUCUCAAAGAAAAAUCUCCCAUCAAAGUCUUUACAUGAACUUCAAGCCCUAUACGAUCUCAUUCCCCUUAUCUCUCUGACCUCAUCUUUUACCAUUCUCCUCCUUACUGUGUUCCAGCCACAUCUGCUUCCUUGCUAUUUCUCAAAGCCACACUCAACCACUGUUUCAAGGCCUCUGCACUUUUCCCUCUCUUUUUUGGCAAGGGUCCUUCUUUUAUAAGGUUCUGGUCCACCCUCCCCCUUCUCUUCCCCCCUUGUUCCUUCCAUUUCCCAAAUAUCUUCAUGAGUUGUUCCCUCAUUUCCUUGAGUUCUCAACUCAGAUGUUGCCUUUCAGUGAGACUUUCUUUGAUCACCGUAUUCAAAACAGCAAAAGCCAAAAUUCAAAACUCUGAUCCUUUGUCCUUUCUAUUCCUCUUCUCCAUAGAAUUUAUUACCAUCUAGUGUACUACAUAUGUUGUCAAAGUUUACUUAUUUAUUUUGAGAGAGAGAGAGAGAGAGCAUGAGCAGGGGAGAGGCAGAGAGAAGGAAAGAGAGAGAGAAAGAACCCCAAGUGGGCUCUGCACUGACAGUGCAGAGCCCGAUGUAGGGCUCGAACUCACGAACUAUGAGAUCAUGAACUGAGCUGAAACUGAAGAGUCAGAGGCUUAACUGACCGAGCCACCCAGGCGCUCCUGGUGCACUACAUAUUUAUUUGCUUAUUUUUCACAGUACCUCUCUCUCCACAGAAACUUAAGUCUCAUCCAAACAAUAAAUAUUUAUUGGAUGGAUUAACAAACUGAAUAUUUAUUGAAUAGCUACUAUGUGCCUAUUUUAGACACUGGUGGUAUAACAGUGAACAAAAAAUGACACGGUCCCUGCCCUCAAGCAGCUUGUAUUUUAGUGCUAGAGACAAACAAUGGACAAAUGAACAGUAUCGAUGUGGCGGGACAUUUUUAUCGCAAUACCCAGGAUUCGUGGUCUCGCCACUUCGAAGAAUGAAGAGGUGGACACAAAAUGAGCAGCAGGCAAAAGUUUAUUAGAGUAGAAGAUUAGAAAGUAAUAGAAGGAAAGCUCUUUCAUUGGAAAGUGAAUACCUAACGACUAAAGGCAAGGGUCCUUCUUUUAUAAGGUUCUGGUCCACCCUACCCCUUCUCUUCCCCCUUGUUCCUUCUCAGGUUCUAUCCUUAUUGGCUUGACAGCUAGUGUUGGGUUCUCCAUUCCUGACUGGCUCAUUUCCAUUGUAUGAGGGGUGGUCUAUGGCCAUGCUUGGGUCUUUUGUCAAAUUCCUGAGGGAAAACCUGAGGGGAGGUAGGUGGUUUCUGUUAAGAGGAACCUGACACCUGAGGGGGUUUGCUGUGGUCAGACACUCCCAGCAUUGUUCCAAAAUAUGUGUUUUUCCAUACCAAGGACCUCAGGCCCUCAUCUUUCCCUCUCUGCCUAUUUUAUCCUAUCUUUCCCUAUUAUAGUGAUAAGUGCUAUGAAGAAAAUAAAUCAUUUAAAAGGAUAGAGAGCAGUGAGAGUAUAAUUUUAGAUGGCAUGUGAGGGAAAUUCUAAGGCAGCACUUGACAAGAACCUUGAAUAACAUACAAGAGGGAGCCCUGCAGAGGUCAGAGGGAGAGAAUCCAGCAAGUACAGAGCUCCUGAGGCCAGGCCAGCUUGGCAUGACCAAGGAAAAGCAAAGCCAGCUCAUGGGGAGAGAGCAGGACAGGGUACAAAUGUUAAGACUGGUAGGCAGAGGUUGCAGUAAGAACUUGGGAUUUUUCUGUGACAAUAUGGGAAGCCGUUGGAGCGUUUUGAGCAGGGCAGCAGUAGGAAUCUGAUUCACAUUUUAAAGGCCUGCUUUGGUGCUGUGUGGAGAGCAGCCUCUGGAAGGGUGAGGCAGGGCAAAGGGAGACCCCUUAGGAGGUCACCCAAGUAUUCAGUGAGCACAGAAGUGGUGAUAGCAACAAAGGUGGAAGAAACAGUCAGAUUUGAAUACAUAUGUAUCACAGAUUGGAUGUGCUGAUGAAUUAGAUGUGAAAUGGGAGAGAAAAAGAUCAAAUGAUUAUCCAAGGUUUUGGCCUGGGCCCCUGGGGCAUAUCCUUUACCAAGAUGGGGAACCUUUGGAGGAACAGGUUUGGGGAAGAUGGUGUUUAAAUCGAGAUGACCCAGGGAGUGGAAUAUAGAGAAAUCUGAAGACUGGACCAUGGCACACUAAGGAAAAUGAGGAGGAAGAGACAAGAGACAAGGAGGGAUGCAAAAGACAUAGGACAGAGUAGAGUCCUGGAACCAAAUGAGGGGUGGCAAGGAGAUGUUUCCAGUGAGAGGGAAUGAGGGGCGGUUGGCUGGCUCAGUUCAUAGAACAUGUGACUCUUGAUCUCAGGAUUGUGAGUUUGAGCCACACAUGGGGUGUAGAGAUUACUUAAACCUAAAAUAAAAAAAAAAAAAAGAAAAAAAGAGGAACUGAUAAAUUGGGUCUAAUGCGAUUGAGGACUGAAACGUGAUCAUUGGAUUUGACAAUGAGGAAGUCAUCGAAGAAAUAGUGUCAGUGGAGUGGUGGGUGAGCAGAAAGCCUGAUGAUGGUGGGUCAGAAUGGAUCUGACAGACUCAGAAUCAAGUAGUACUAACGAGAGGCCUUGGGCAAAUAGUUAAACCUCUCUGCUAUCAGCUUUCUCGUCUGCUAAGGGAAAUAGUAACUCCUUGCUCAGAAAAUGUGGUAUAAAUUAAUAAGAAUUCAGAAAAUUUUGAACUAUAUGCAAAAUCAACCUAAAUGUUUUAAUGUUAUGUUUAAUGAUACAUGUUUUUAAAAAUGGGAAACAAAUAUAUAUUAAAGCCCUACUAUAACAUGCACUUUUCAUGUUUUUAAAAACAUUUUUUUAAGUAAUCUCUACACCCAACAUGGGGCUCGAAUUCAUGACGCCAAGGUCAAGGGUCACAUGCUCCAUCAACUGAGACAGCCAGGUGCCCUGCACUUGGCAUGUUUGAUCUUAUUUAAUUUUGAUUAAUCCAAAUAUAAACAUGCUAUAUAAAAAGACCGAAUAGUGCAGCUCUUCCUGCCCAUUGGUCUUGUCCUGUGCUAAUUUAAUAAAAACACCUUUUUCAGGGCCAUUGGGUGGCUCAGUGGGUUGAGCGUCCAACUCUUGAUUUUGGCUCAGGUCCUGAUCCCAGGGUCAUGAGAUGGAGCCCCAAGUUGGAUGCUGCGCUGAGUGUGAGCCUGCUUAAGAUUCCCCCCCCCUCUCUCUCUCAAAUAAAAAAGUUAAAAAAAAAACACCUUUUUGCACUAAAAAAAUUAAAAACUAAAAAUUAAGACCAGAAAGAAGUAACAGAGGAAAUGUCUCAUUUAAUGUUCUUCACGUGAUCCUGAACACUUCAUUUUAUUUAAUCAUUGAAAUGCUCAAAAUCUUUCUAAAAGGAUUUACAUCUGACUGUAAUCUGGACCUUUGAUAUUCAUUUUAGAGAAAGUAAACACCCACUUAGUAACAUUUUCAGAUAUGACGACCUUGUGGAAGUUUGUUCCUCAAAACCAAACAAAACAAGCUAGGGGUUCUUUUCUAAAGACAUGUUAACCAGUCUAGCUACGUACACAUCUCCCUAGUAUCAAUUUGUACAACUCGUAUUCCUUUCUGUGAUUCUGUUGGGUUUUACCCUGUUCCUUUGUAACACCAUGCUUCCUAGUAAAAGCUCCUUCCUCAGCCUCAGGGCCUUUUCCCCUGCCUUUUCUGACAAGGAGUGGCCCACCCGCCCCAGCCUCUACCUUCCAAAACCACCCUUUUCCUUUCUCAGGGUUUAGACACAGUGCUUUAUUUUUAAAGAACAUCCUUCUCCAACACAGACUUGGGAGGGAAACUACUCCAAAUUGGGAAGAGGGUUUUCAUCAAAGAAAGAUCUAAAAAGCAUCGUCUUAAAGGUUUUAUUUUUAAGUAAUCUGUAUGCACAACAUGGGGCUUGAAUUUACAACUCCGAGAUCAAAAGCCACAUGCUCAAGGGACGCCUGGGUGGCUCAGUUGGUUGAGCAUCUGACUUCAGCUCAGGUCAUGAUCUUACUGUUGGUGGGUUUGAGCCCCUCAUCGGGCCUUGUGCUGACAGCUCAGAGCCUGGAGCCUGUUUCUGAUUCUGUGUCUCCCUCUCUCUCUGCCCCUCUCCCACUCCCGCUCUGUCUCUCUCUCUCAGAAAUAAUAAACAUUAGAAAAAAAAAUUUUUUUUUAAUUUUUUUUUCAACGUUUAUUUAUUUUUUGGGGACACAGAGAGACAGAGCAUGAACGGGGGAGGGGCAGAGAGAGAGAGGGAGACACAGAAUCGGAAACAGGCUCCAGGCUCUGAGCCAUCAGCCCAGAGCCUGACGCGGGGCUCGAACUCACGGACCGCGAGAUCGUGACCUGGCUGAAGUCGGACGCCCAACCGACUGCGCCACCCAGGCGCCCCGAAAAAAAAAUUUUUAAGUCACAUGCUCUAUAGACUGAGCCAGCCAAGCACCCCUAAAAGACAUUGUUUCAAUUCUGCAUACUUUUGAGUACAAAUGUGUACUUUUGUUCCAGAAUGGAUAUUUUUGAGCAAAAAUACCAAACCUUGGGCACCUGGCUGGCACAGUCAGUUAAGCAUCUGACUCUUGGUUUCAGCUCAGGUCAUGAUCUCACAGUUCGUGUGAUAGAGCCCUAUGUCGAGCUCUUCUCUCUCUCUUCCCCCACCCCCCCAUAAAAUUAAAUAAAUAAAUUUAAAAAUACUAAACCUCUUCUCCCUGCUGCUUCUGAACCUCUGUCUUCCUUGUCCAACACCCUUUCACCAUUUGGCCUCGCUCCCAGACAAAGGCACCCUCCCAGACAGGGCAGUUUUAGAGGUGGGAAAUCAGGCAUGCUGAGGGUAGACUAUUUGAGUUCAGCCUUACACAUUGUACAGUGUGGUGGGAAAUAUACUGGCCUGGACACCAAGUGAUCCAGCUUCUAAUUCCAGCCCCAUUGGGGGACUCCGGCACAUCACGUGUUUAUCCAGGGCUUUAGUGGCCCUGUGUGGAGAACAUGGACCAGAAGUGCUGUCGGGUUCUUGCUAUCCCUGCUCCUCAGAUGAGGACACUAAGGCAUGGAGAUGGGAAGGUAUCGUGAUAGAUUCCUCUGAGGGUGUCAGAAAAGAGUAGACACUGAGGAUUAAUUCAUUGUUUGAUUUCUCUUGGCAAAACAGUGUAAGGAAGAAAAAUAGCAUCUUAGGACAAAUGAGGCUUUUCUUCUCAUGAAACCAAGUACAGAUGCUUUCUGAUUUACAAUGGUUUGACUUAAAGUCUUCUUUUUUUUUUUUUUAGUUUUUUUUAAUGUUUAUUUUUGAGAGAGAGAGAGACAGAGACAGAGUGUGAGCAGAGAAGGGUCAGAGAGAGAGGGAGACACAGAAUCUGAAGCAGGUUCCAGGUUCUGAGCUGUCAGCACAGAGCCCAACAUGGGGCUUGAACCCACAAACUGUGAGAUCAUGACCUGAGCCGAAGGCGGACACUCAACCAACUAAGCCACCCAAGCGCCUCUCAACUUAAAAUUUUCAACUUGACGCUGGUGUGAAAGCUAUACUCAUCCAGUAGAAUCUAUACUUUGAAUUUUAAAUUUGGGUCUUUUCCUGGGUCAGCGAUACAUGGUAUGAUCCUCUCUCAAGAUAGCAAGCAGAGGCAAUCACGGCUCCAACCAGCCACACGAUCACGAGUGUGAGCAAUCAACAUACUUAAAACCCUCUGUACCCACACAAUCGUUCUGUUUUAACUUUCAGAACAGUAUUCAAUAAAUUACACAGAUACUCAACAUUUUGGAUAAAAGUCUCUAUGUUUGAUAAUUUUGCCCAAUUAGAGGCUAGACUAAGCUAUGAUGUGUGGCAGGUUAGUGUGUUCAAAGUGUUUUCAACUUACAGUAUUUCCAAUGUAUGAGGGUUUAUUGGGACAUAACACCAUUGUAAGUGGAGGAAGAUCUGAAAUGGAAAUUUCAGACAUUUCUUGGAAAUGCUAGUAAAUAGAUUUCUUGAGUCAUUUUCAAGAUGGUUAUAUCUCUUGGACCUGGGAUUAAUGGGUCAUUUCUAUUUCCUUUUUAUCUUUUUAUGUGCUCUCUGAAUCUUUUACUAAUACAUAUUAGUUCUGCAAUCAGAAUGGGUACUUUAGGAGAAAAAAAAGAAGAAAAUGGCUUUAACCGUACAAAUGGAAGAGAACAGGAAAAAAACUUAAAAACUAAUAAUGAUGAAACUGACAUUUAUUACAUGUCAUUUAUUAUGUAUUGGACAGUAACUGGCUCAUUUACUUCCUCUCAACUCUGGAUAAGAAGCUAUUUAUUAUUACUUCCAUUUUGCAUAUAAGAAAAAUUAAGCAGAGAGGGGUCAAAUAGCUUCAGAAGUCACAGAGCUAGUAAAUUCAAUUGCUGGGACUUCACUUAGGUAGUCUAACAUCAGGGUCCUUCUAUUUAUCACCUGCCUCAUAAAUGAUCUAAAAAUGAGGUAUAAUCUUAUGUAACUUCAGAGAACAGAUUUUUCAUACUAAUUACAUUUUAUUUAGGUUAAUAUUCCCUGAACACACAUUAACAAAAGGCUGGAAGAAAGUGGUUUGAAACUAUGGUAGAUCUGUGAUGUAAUUUAACUCCGUGUAGACCAAUGGUUGUCUAUACAAUUAACUCUAGCACAGAGUUGGCUUAUCCACUCUGGUUUAUCCACUCUGGUUUAUGCCAAAUCUGUGCUACAGUUGACAACAUAGACAACCAUUGGUCUAUGCUGUGUUAAAUUAAACAAGGAGACUAUUAGACCUCGGUGGUUCUAAUGUCUUUUAGGCCUAAGUAAACCCAUAAAUAUCUCAAGGCUUAGAAAUCAAACUUGAGGACAACCAAUCACAAACAGCCAAUGAGUCUUUGUGAAUAAGACAAAUGCUUAAGCUACAGCUAAUCACAUGAUUUCCUUGCUUUGUUUCCACCUUUCCUUUGUAAGUCUUCGUAACUUCUGCUCCUAACCACCUCUGAUUUGGCACUGCCUUAAUCCCACUGAUUUUUGCUCAAAUAAACUCUGAAAAAUUGUGAUAUGCCUCAGUUUGUCUUUUAACGGCUCUGAUAUCUGGCUUGUUUUACGUAGGUACCUCAAAGAAAGUUGAAAGAAGGUGAUUCAAAUUGCCAGGAAGAGUUUGGGAACAUCCACACUGCCAAUCAGUUUUUUAAAACAAAAUUUUUAAAAAGGCAUAAUCUAUCCACGGAACAAGACUACGUCAGCACCACAAAUAAUCAAGGACAAAUCACACACAACGAAGGAAGUGCUCAUCACUGCUACCCGUUUUGUGCACACAAGACAGUCCCUAUCUCUCAACUAGGAACGUCAGCCACUUUAGGCUUUUGAAUGUUGGUCUUUCUCCUGUUGUCUUCUACCUACUGACUUUUCAAUCAGCUCUCCUCCUGUGGCCGGAUCCAUUUCACGGCAUAUCACUCCCACCUCAGAAGACUGGGUCACAGAAGUUAUUUCAGGACUCAUAAGUGAGCAAAGGCCUCAAGCUCAAAUAUUAGCUGAAUGACUGAAUAAUUACUAUAGGUAUGGUCCUCUGGACAAGCAAUCUGCCUAAUAUCUCAGGGAAGGAAAGGCCACAGAACUGCAAGCUGUAAGAGAGAUUACCUACACUAACCAAAUCAGGUUCUGACUGAGGAGGGUAAGGGAGUUCAGCAAAGCGAAAGAGACCAACUACCUCCAUUUUGACCUUCAUCUGUACUUGGUAAGUGAUUAAGUUCUUCUUUCCAGCUUGACUCUUAACUCUGGCAAAAGACCCUGCAGGCAAAGCAUUUUCUAAUGGGAACUGAAACUAUCCCCUCAAGCAAUAAGGACCACCCUGAGCCAGCAAGACUUGGCCCGUGACAGUGAUCAACCAGACCUUUACUGCCCACCCAUGCAUGUACCCACUGACUUUUGUCCCACAUUUUCCUCAUAUAAACCUGGGAGUAUCUUCAGCACUUUGGAGACAGUCUUUGAGAUGCAUGAGUCCCCUGUCUUCUUAGUGUGUUGGCCUCACUGAAAUAAAUUCCUGUCUUGUUUCACCACCACUCAUUUCUCUGCCUUUGGAUUUUGUCAGCAGUGACUGGCCAAACCUGGUCUGUUUAGGACCCCCAGAGCUAGGUGCUCUUGCACCCCUGUACCCCGGCUACACUGAUGGGUCAUUUCUGGACAGUCAUUGCCGCAUGAGAUUGGGGCUCUCUUUCUUGUCAGAGGGCCAGAAGUUUUCCAAGAUGGAAGAAGACCCCUCCCCUCCCAUUGUUUUCCUCCUCAGCCCUCACUUUCUGGUAUACGGUGCGUGUUGUAAGUGCAUAGUGGCGGAUCUCUGUGUUUUUCCUUUCCAGGUGGCGUAAGUGGCAAAGAAGGUGGGAACCAAUUCCUUCUAGGGAAAAGACCUGUCCAUCCUGUUCUCUUUUCCUCUGGUGUCUCUUCAACUUCCUGUCUUCCAUGUGACCAAUUUGGUAGUAAUAUUUGGGUUUAGGGUUAAGGAGAAGGAAGGGUCAUCCUUGCCAGAGCUCCCUGCCUCAGGGUUUCGCACACAAGCCCAGCAACAAUAAAUUAAUGCAGCCCAGAUUGAAAUCUUAUCACACUAUAUUUCAGAGCUGCAAAGAAAAUGUUGGAGAUGGAACUUUAAAAUCACCAAUUAAAGUAUUUUACUUUUCUAAUUUAACAUAGUCUCCUUCCAGGUAAUAACUCCCAGUAAGAGCUGUUUCUCUCCUUUUUUCUUUUUCUCCUUAAGUAGGUGUCUGGAGGUGGUACUUAGGUGACCUCAUGCUUGCCCAGAGCCUUGCUCUUUGGAUCAUCACCAGCCUGUGCCGCAAGAGUGCUAGUCUGGUCUUGUCCCUGAGCUGCCAGUCAGAAGGGCUGCUCUCCUGGCUCCCAGCUCUCAUGGCUGGCAGGAACUUUUCUUGCAUCAUCUCCCUCCUUCCCAAAAUGAAAUUUGUCAACACCUACUUCCCAGAGCCCUACUAGCAGAAUGGCCACUGGGAAACAUAAUUUAUGGGAGAGACGAAAACACAUAUAUGCACCCCCAACAUACCCUUUGUCACUUUAUGUUGCCUCAUCAUUGUCUGUUGUCUGAUUAUCACUCUGGGAACCCUGAGGGGGAAAGAGUCUGGAAUUUGGGGUUAUCCCAAAUACUUCAAAAGGUCAAGCUCUUAACAGGUAAUUUCUAGUAUUACUUCUACAUAUGGCAUUCUUUCUCAUUAUACUCUUAUACUCUCCUCAUGUACCCCAGGAAAACGUUCAGGGAUUUUCUGUUUUGCUUGCUGCUAUAACCCCAAUGUCUAAAUAGUACAUGGCACAGAGUGGGUGUUCAAUAAAUAUUUGUGGGAUGAGUGAAGGGUUGAUCACAUCUGCUGUGGUGGAUUUAUCCAGGUCAGCUCUCAGAGGGGAUCUUAUUUCCCUUACCUCCAGGUGGUCGCAGAGCAGCACACGGAAGCUGAUGUGUUGUCCACAGCGUGCGCCAGCUCAGAGGUAGUAGCUGAAGCAGUGGGGCUUGAUGAGGCCCCUCAGGAAGAGCAAGAGGGAGGACAAAUGGGGCCAAGAGUAGCCCAAAAGGAGCAGUUCUCAAACUUUUAAAUCUCAGAGCCCCUUUAUAGUUUUAAAAAUUGUUGAGGGCUCCCAGAAGCUCUCAUGGGUUGUAUCAAUAUUUAUUGUAUUAAAAUUGAAACAAAACUUUUAAAUAUUUAUUCAUUUGUUUAACAAAAAAAUCCACAUUACGUGUUAGGAUAAAUAACAUUUUCAUUUACAACAUAACUAUCUUUGGGGCACCUGGGUGGCUCAGUCAGUUGAGCAUCCAACUCUUAAUUUCGACUCAGGUCAUGAUUUCAGCAUCAUGUUAUGGAGUCCUAUGUAGGGCUCCAUGCUUAAUAUUCUCUCUCUCCUCUGCCCCUCUCCCUUACUCAUGAGUGCUCUCUAAAACAAAACAAAACAAAACAAAUGAAAUAAAAUGAAAUGAAAUGAAAUGAAAUAAAGUAAAGUAAAAUAAAAUAAAAUAAAAUAAAAUAAAAUAAAAUAAAAUAAAGCUAUCCUUUCCAAAAUAAAAAUCACUGAGAGGAGGGGCAGUUCUUUUUUGGCAAAUUGCCUAUGUCUGGCUUCACUUGAUCUUAGCCAAAAGGCCGAGAAGCGAUGCCUAUGUCUGGCUUAAUAGAAGGCAGCUGGAUUUCAUGUCUGCCUCUGUAUUCAAUCUGCUGUGAUAUGUUUUAGUUGAAAUUCGGCCUCAUACAGACACACAGUGGGAAAAGGAAGGAUCUUGGGGACUGCAGGGAUUCUCUGACCACAUUCUGAAAACUGCUGUCCUAAAACGAAAGGUGCUGUAGCAAUAAUGAUGAUCUCCGCUACAGAGCCUCCAGCCCUCCAGGGAGUCCAGACCCUGCUAUUAGAACAGAAUCCCUGUUUCUCACCCUCCUCCCACCAGCCUCUCUGCUUAGGAUUGCACAAUUCUUUAAUAAUGUAUAAAAUAGCUGACAGCCUUGAGCAGCAAAAUAUAAGUUCUUGGAGUAUGCUGGUCCUGGGUAGAAGGAAGCAUAACAGGCAUCUCAGAAAGGGGAUGAAGGAAAGAACACAUGCAUUCUUAGUAAGGAGAGAAAAGAGGUUAUGAAGUUCAGGCGCAUUUGCAGGCAAGUAUGUUUCAUAUUUGCACCCAGUGCCUGGGCUGAAAAAAGGAAACAAACAAUAAAGCUCAGCUUGCUGGGUGUGUGUGGAAGGAGCUGGUUCUCAGAGGGGGAGGAGCUGGCCUAUGCAAUUACAUUCUACUUCAGUAUCUUCUCAGGACUUGCUGGAGGGCCACAGCUUUAUCCCCAUUGGUUGAGGAGCUCAUGGAAAGAUAGUCGACUCUACCAGGUACAGUUCUAAGACCAGUCAAUUCUCAACACGGUGGAGUGGCCUUGCUACCACUGGUGGGAAGGCUUCAAGUAACGCUUUCUGUUUAUAAACCCUUCCUCCCAGGCUAAUACCAGCAACCACCACCUUCACUGUGUAUCUUGCUUACCUGCUUUACAGAGGGAAGGCACAGCCAACAGCUGUCACUCGCCCUCGCAGCCU
rnacentral:lncRNA from 1 species